rnacentral:lncRNA from 1 species
GCACUGUCGGCUAGGCAUAGAGAGAGAGAUCGAGAUAAAAGAGAGAUAAUGGGUUAGGGUGGGUAUUUUUUUAAUUUUUAUCUUAAGGGUAGUUUAGUCAUUUAACACAAAAGGUGGGUAUUUUUUUAAUUUUUUAUUUGAGUGGGUAAAUUUUAAUUUUACUAAAAAAAAGUGGGUACUCUCAUGUAUUAACUCUAAAAGUUAAUUAUUUUUCAUUUUAAGAUAACACCACAGAAUUUUAUUUAUCAAAUUUAUCCAUGGUGACCUCUUUCCCCAUUCAUAAUAUAAUGAGGGAAAUCUUAUUAUAGCCCUCCUUCAUAAAAACAUAAGUUUUAUAGCCCUAGUUUAUAAUAGAUAAGUUAUAUAACCAUUUUAAGUUUAAAAGACUAUAACACCCUUUGACUUUUUUGUACUCGAUGGAACCAUCGAGUACUCGAUGGCGCCAUCGUGUACACCAUCGAGUACUCGUGGUGUCAUCGUGCACACCAUCGAGUACUUCGAUUACUCGAUAGUGUUGUAGAAAAUCUUCAUUUUUUUCAUUACUCGAUGGUGUACACGAUGGUGCCAUUGAGUACUCGAAGUUUCAAAAAAAGUCAAAGGAUGUUAUAGUCUUUUAAGCCUAAAAUGGCUAUAUAACUUAUCUAUUAUAAACUAGGGCUAUAAAACUUAUGUUUUUAACAAAAACGGCUAUAUGUGAUAAUUCCCACUUAUGGAAACCUGUGUCAAACCCAAUGUUAUAUACUUUUCGUGGAUGGAGGGAGUAGAUUUUAUUUUCUUUAACACUAACACGCAAAUUAGAAAGGGGAGCAAAAAGUAGUAACAAAACAAACACAUGGCCAACUUGCAUAGUUUCUGAUGCAACAACUUUAGAGAUUAUAAACACAAAUCCUUCAGACAGUGGAUGACAAAUUCUAGCUAAAUUACCGUGGAGAUAACUCAGUGUCCGACAUAUCAUUGUUAGAUGAGAUUUUAGACGCAGCUGCUUCAGGCCUGCCUGUAAUUCGU